rnacentral:piRNA from 1 species
UGCCUCAGGUACUGGCUUUGAUUGUGGU